rnacentral:rRNA from 1 species
CCUACGGGUGGCUGCGGUAGGGAAUCUUCCACAAUGGACGAAAGUCUGAUGGAGCAACGCCGCGUGAGUGCAGAAGGGUUUCGGCUCGUAACGCUCUGUUGGUAGUGAAGAAAGAUAGAGGUAGUAACUGGCCUUUAUUUGACGGUAAUUCCUUAGAAAGUCACGGCUAACUACGUGCCAGCAGCCGCGGUAAUACGUAGGUGGCACGCGUUGUCCGGAUGUAGUGGGCGUAAAGCGAGUGCAGGCGGUGCAAUAAGUCUGAUGUGAAAGCCUUCGGCUCAACCGGAGAAUUGCAUCAGAAAGUGUUGAACUUGAGUGCAGAAGAGGAGAGUGGAACGCCAAGUGUAGCGGUGGAAUGCGUAGAUAUAUGGAAGAACACCAGUGGCGAAGGCGGCUCUCUGGUCUGCAACUGACGCUGAGGCUCGAAAGCAUGGGUAGCGAACAGGAUUAGAUACCCGAGUAGUC